CUUAAUCCCAGAUCACAGCUAAAGUAUGUAGUCCAGACCUAACACUGGGCCAGUCCAAUAGCUUCCUGACUCCUUUAGCUUCCUGAUUGUGGCAAAUGUUGCCAAUCCCUUGGGUAGCGGGUUCUACAGUGUUGUUUUGAAGUCAUUUCUGGGCCCUGCCUAAAGCCUGCUUUUCCAGAUCUUUCAACAAUUCUAAUAUUAAGAAGAUGUGCGCUCAAGAUUUAAUAAAAUGCAAACUUUUACUGCUUUACCAAGGACAUUCUUACAUGAAACCAGCAUCUUGUUUCUUAAGUCAAAUGGUGACAGUGAUGAAUACACUGAUUUCUAGUCCAGUCUCUUUUAGGUUUAAGAUGACUACAAAAGCAUCAUGUGAUUAAUGGGAAAUUCCCAGUGUAUUUGUGGAAGAGAAUUGGUCCUGUUGAAUACUGGACAUCAGAGAUAACUGAGUUUUCCCCAGCAAAGGGGAUGGCCACACCAUGACUCAAUAAGCAACUCUGCAGCUGCUCCUGCGAAUCACUCCGUUUCACCAUCAGUCCCCUGGCCCCAUGAGAGGAGAGCCUACAUGAAUGUCAUCACCUUGCCAGAAAAUUCUGGGUCAGAGCCAGCCAAAGAGAGCCUUCCAGAGGCAGACAAGAACCCUCAGCUACUCUCACUUUUUACCUAGCUGGAGGUUCCGUCCUGAGGUCCGCCUAGGAAACCUCUCCACUACAAGAUGUUCAAGUGGGCCACAUACCUGGCUUGCCCAACAGGCAUAGCAGAUGAGUAACAAGUGCGUUUAUAGAUUUCGUGGUGCUCCAGUUGUCGCUGAUGAGGAAGCCUUUGUCCUGGGAGUCUGUUGGCCAAGAGAUGUGUCUGCUGAGAGAACUGUACUUGAAGAGUAAGUGGAGGUGGGGAGGAAGCUUGCUGGCUUACAUACAAAUAUUCAGCAAGUGGAUGGAUCCAAGAGCUGAGUGAUUUACACAUGAAGAAACAGGCUCAAAAAAUCCAAGUCACACAAUCCAUAAUAGGUGGCAAAGCCUGUAUCCAAAGGUUUGUCCCACCACUGGAAGCAGAAACCAUGCAUAUACAUCUGUAUAUUCACAGCCAUUGAGCAUGGCACCUGCCAUACCAUAUUUAAGAUCAGAAUUAAAGAAUAUAUGAAUGAA